AAUAUAUUUUUAAACAAAUAUAAAUUGCUUUUUAUUUAAUAAAAAAAAAGCAAUAUGGUAUUAACAACAAGAAUGUCACAUAAAGUGAAUAGAAUUUCUUAUUAUUAUCAUAAUGUUUUUGUAAUAUUUUUGUUAAUGUUUACAUUAUUUAUAAUAUUAAUUAUGACAUAUCAUAUUUUUAAAUUUGGGAGUACACAAAAGCGUUCUGUAUAUAAUCCCAUUAUCCUUAAUGAUUUACAUUCAUUACCUGUACAAAUAAUAGAUGCAGAUUUUGCAAUGGCAGAUACCACAAAUAGUUCUUGCACAUACUUCAGUUGUUUUAAUGUUUAUCGUUGUGGCAGUCAAGGAAAUAAGCUUUUAGUAUAUGUUUAUCCACCAAAAUUAUAUGUAGAUUCAUUAGAAAGAUCUAUAACAAGUCAUAUAACAAAAGAGUUUUAUCAAAUUUUAAAUACAAUUAUUUCAAGUAAAUUUUACACACCAAAUCCAUAUGAAGCAUGUAUUUUCAUUCCUUCAAUUGAUACAUUAAAUCAAAAUAGAUUAAAAUUACAAGAAGUUUCACAAGCUCUGAAAUCAUUGCCAUUUUGGAAUAAUGGAGAAAAUCAUUUGAUAUUUAAUAUGAUACCUGGAACUGUACCUGAUUAUAACACAGUUAUUGAUGUACCUGUUGGAAAAGCAAUGAUUGCAGGUGCAGGAAUGUCUUCAUUAACAUAUAGAUCUGGUUUUGAUAUCAGUUUACCAGUAUAUAGUCCUCUUGUAAAUAGUCUUAAAUCAAAUUUUAAUAAUACAAGACCAUGGUUAAUCAUAUCAUCUCAAAUGAACAUUAAUUCUGCUUCUGAACAAGAUUUGUUAGAAAUUAAAUCUAUAUCACCAAAAGAUAUUUUUAUAUUAGGUACAUGUUUUCACUAUAAUUCUAUGAAUAACACAAUUCGAUGUGUAGGAGAAGAUGUUUAUAAAUAUCCUGAUGUGCUUCAAUCAGCAACAUUCUGUUUAGUAAUACGAGGUGCAAGACUUGGUCAAACUACACUUUUAGAAUGCAUGGCAGCUGGUUCUAUACCUGUAAUUAUAGCUGAUUCUUUGACAAUGCCUUUUCAUGGUAUAAUUGAUUGGACUAGAGCUGUUAUAUUUAUACGAGAAGUAGAUAUUUUAUCAUUAAUAUCAGUUUUAAAAAAAAUAUCUCAAGAACGAAUUAUAGAACUUCAACAACAGGGUGCAUGGCUUUAUGAAAAAUACUUUAAAUCUAUGGAAAAAAUAAUAGAAACCACGUUGGAAUUACUUGCAGAUCGUGUAUUUCCACACUUAAGUAGAGAUUAUACAUUUUGGAAUAUACCAAUUCACAAGGAUAUUACAUCUCCAUUGUUUUUACCUAUUACUGUGCCAAAAACUCGAGGAUUUACUGCUGUAAUUUUAACAUAUGACAGAUUGGAAUUGCUAUUUCUAUUAAUUAAUAAACUUGUUAAAGUACCAAGUUUAUCUAAAGUUCUAGUUAUAUGGAAUAAUCAACAAAAAGAUCCUCCACAUCCAUCUAGAUGGCCAAAGUUGAGUAAACCAUUAAAAGUUAUACAAACAAAAGAAAAUAAACUAUCUAAUAGAUUUUAUCCUUAUGAUGAAAUUGAAACUGAAGCAGUCUUAUCAAUAGAUGAUGAUAUUAUUAUGUUAACCGCUGACGAAGUAGAAUUUGCUUAUGAGAUAUGGAGAGAAUUCCCAGAUCGAAUAGUUGGUUUUCCAUCUAGAAUUCAUAUGUGGGACAAUGGAACAAAUUGUUGGAAAUAUGAAAGUGAAUGGACUAACAGUAUUUCUAUGGUUUUAACUGGAGCUGCAUUCCAUCAUAAAACAUCAAAAAUUUAAUUUUUUAAAUUUUGUUAUUCCUUCCUGAAAAAUAAUAUUUUUAAUAUUUCCAUUAUAAAUUUCCUUAUGAUCCCGGAUAUUCCUGAACAAGUUCCUGAAAAAAUUAGUAUUGGAAUUAUAUGUAUACUACUGCUAUGCCUGGUGAUAUAAAAGAAUGGGUUGAUGAACAUAUGAAUUGUGAAGAUAUCGCUAUGAAUUUUUUAGUAGCAAAUAUUACAGGAAAAGCACCUAUAAAAGUGACACCAAA
rnacentral:misc_RNA from 1 species